UACAGAGGGGGCAAGCGUUGUUCGGAAUUACUGGGCGUAAAGGGCGCGUAGGCGGCCUGUUAAGUCGAACGUGAAAUCCCCGGGCUCAACCCGGGAACUGCGUCCGAUACUGGCAGGCUUGAAUCCGGGAGAGGGAUGCGGAAUUCCAGGUGUAGCGGUGAAAUGCGUAGAUAUCUGGAGGAACACCGGUGGCGAAGGCGGCAUCCUGGACCGACACUGACGCUGAGGCGCGAAAGCUAGGGGAGCAAACGGG
rnacentral:rRNA from 1 species